AUUGAACGCUGGCGGCAGGCCUAACACAUGCAAGUCGAGCGGAUGAAGGGAGCUUGCUCCUGGAUUCAGCGGCGGACGGGUGAGUAAUGCCUAGGAAUCUGCCUGGUAGUGGGGGAUAACGUCCGGAAACGGGCGCUAAUACCGCAUACGUCCUGAGGGAGAAAGUGGGGGAUCUUCGGACCUCACGCUAUCAGAUGAGCCUAGGUCGGAUUAGCUAGUUGGUGGGGUAAAGGCCUACCAAGGCGACGAUCCGUAACUGGUCUGAGAGGAUGAUCAGUCACACUGGAACUGAGACACGGUCCAGACUCCUACGGGAGGCAGCAGUGGGGAAUAUUGGACAAUGGGCGAAAGCCUGAUCCAGCCAUGCCGCGUGUGUGAAGAAGGUCUUCGGAUUGUAAAACACUUUAAGUUGGGAGGAAGGGCAGUAAGUUAAUACCUUGCUGUUUUGACGUUACCAACAGAAUAAGCACCGGCUAACUUCGU
rnacentral:rRNA from 1 species